GAUGAACGCUAGCUACAGGCUUAACACAUGCAAGUCGAGGGGCAGCAUGGUCUUAGCUUGCUAAGGCUGAUGGCGACCGGCGCACGGGUGAGUAACACGUAUCCAACCUGCCGUCUACUCUUGGUCAGCCUUCUGAAAGGAAGAUUAAUCCAGGAUGGGAUCAUGAGUUCACAUGUCCGCAUGAUUAAAGGUAUUUUCCGGUAGACGAUGGGGAUGCGUUCCAUUAGAUAGUAGGCGGGGUAACGGCCCACCUAGUCAACGAUGGAUAGGGGUUCUGAGAGGAAGGUCCCCCACAUUGGUACUGAGACACGGACCAA
rnacentral:rRNA from 1 species